UUUAAAUGUAAAAGUUAAUUACUAAAAUAGUAUUAGUUAUGUUCUUGAAAAUUAAAGAUUUUGGCGGUAUUUUAGUCUAUUUAGAGGAACCUGUUCUGUAAUUGACAAUCCACGAUUAACUUUACUUAUUUUAUAAAUUUGUAUACCGUCGUUAUUAGAAAAUUUUAAUAGAAAAUAAAUUUUUAAUAUUUUAAAUUAAAAAAUAUAUCAGAUCAAGGUGCAGUGUAUAUUUAAGAAGAAAUGGGUUACAAUAAAUUUAUUUAUAUGGAUUAAAGUAAUAAAUGCUUUAUGAAGGUGGAUUUAAUAGUAAUAAAAUUUAUUUUAAUUUUAUGAUUUUAGCUCUAAAAUAUGU
rnacentral:rRNA from 1 species